AUUUUGAAUAAAACCUGUUGUUACUGCUUACAUUUCAUUAAAACCUUGUCUUGUCCACUUCUUAGCAGCCUCUUAACAAACCAGAUAAAGAUGUGGUCUUGGAGGAGGAACAACUAGAAAUGAAGAUGUGCACUGAGCUUACAUGUAAUGAUUAGUACAGGUUAGUCGCCCUGCUAAACUCGGGAGCAAGGGGAGGCUGAGCAGCAGAGCUCAGUGUGUGUUCAGCCAGACACAGAAUGCAUCUGCCUGUCUCUGUAAUGAGUAAUUGAGUAAUAGCUCUUUUUGGAGUAUGAGUGAAUGCCACCUUUUUCUCUUCUUUUUUUCUUUUUCUUUUUGUGUGUUUUUGUUAAAGUUAAUUCCACAGCUUGGCUCAGUAUAUACAUUUUUUAAAUUAAAAAUUUAAAAAUUCUCCCCUUGCUCAGGGGAAAAAAAUCCAUAACGUACAAGUUCCCUAUUGAGAAGAACCUGCUGCUUUUACAUUCCAAGAACAGAUUUUUUGGUUUCUUUUCAGAUUCAGUUUGACAUGUCUUUUUCAUAAAGAAGUGGUCAUAGCACAAAUGUAAGUCUUAAAAGUAAAUAAAAUCUAGAGAUGACCAAAAAGUAGAAGAAUGCUGUUUGCUGCUUAGGCACUGUCUUUGUUUUUGAUAUCUUCAGUCCCUGCUACAUAAACUCCCAGCUAUUCCCAACAGUUUCAUUGCUUUUAUGGAAUGCAGCUGUGAGGUAGUGACUUCUUUUUUAAUUAGUGCUGUAACCAUCCAUCAUGCAAGUCUUAAGGAGUGUUUCUACUUGGAUGUUUUCCUAUUUGGGUGAUCCUGUGCAAGUUUCGAUAAACUUUGAAAAAGCGUUGGAGUAAGAAAAGACAGUUUUAUGUUGUGACUGCUUUGAAUGUUGCUGUCUUUUAUGUUUUGGGCUGUAAUGCCUCUCUGUUUUUCCUAAAUAGGGAUUAGAAUUAGAAAAAUGGGACUUGCAGGAUGCCAGUUUUUCUGAGUUCCUUCUGUUGUCAAUUUUUCUAUAAUACUGUUGAAGUGCUGGGUACAUAAUAUUUUCAUUAUCUGUUCUCCAGCUUUUUGCUUGUGGUGUGAAGAUAUUAGGUGCAAGGAAAAAGUGUACCUUCAUAUGAUGGCACAGAGUAUCUCAGCUGCACUUCAUUAAAUGAGAUGAGUGGAUUGGAGUAUCAUCUGAGACUCUCAGGUGCUUUUGUCUGGGUUAAUUUUUUUUCACAGUACUGGUAUGGGGCUGUUUUGGAUUUGUGCUGGAGACAGUGUUGAUAACACAGGGAUAUUUUCCUUACUGCUGAGCAGGGCUUGCACAGAUCCAAGGCUUUUUCUGCCUCCCACCCGACCUGUGAAGAGACUGGGGGUGCACAAGGAAUUGGGAGGGGACACAGCUGGGACAGGCAAGUCCAGCUGACCCAACAUAUAUCCUGCAACAUAUGGAGUCAUGCUCAGCAUGUAAAAUGGGAAGAAGGAAAGGAAGGAAGGGUGUUUGGAGUGAUGGAGUUGUCUUCCCACAUUACAGUUAUGUGUAAUGGUGCCCAGAUUUCCUGGAGAUGGCUGAACAUCUGCCUGCUCAUAGGAAGUGGUGAAUGAAUUCCUUGUUUUGCUUGCUUGUGUGUGCAACUUUUGCUUUGCUUAUUAAAUUGUCUUUAUCUCAACCCACAAGUGUUCUUACUUUCACCCUUUCAAUUUUCUCCUCCAUCCCACCUGGGGUGAGUGAAGGAGCAGCCUCUGAGUGGUGAUUAGUUACCAGCUGGGGCUAAACCACAACAGACAAACAGCCAGAAACAGAGGAGGUAGGACAAGUUGCCUGGGAAGAAGCAACUGCUGGCUUCAGGCUGCUGUGAAAAUUUUUGGAGCAUUUGGAAGAAGCCUUCUUCUGAUUUGUCCUGCUUUGGAUAGUUGGAGUCAGAAAGGUUUUAAGGGCAAAUGACAAGAAUGAAAGGAAAAAGAGCUUCUUGCUGACCUCUUACAAAACAGAGAAUGUUGAGAACUAAACACAUGGACAGAGCCUACAGUGUCAGCUCUGUAACCAGGGUGUCUGCAAACAGAAGUGAACUGACAACUCUGGUAUUUUUCGUUCAUAACAAGAUGAAGAUCCCCUGUUUGCUGCUGAGAUUCCCUCGUUGUUAUUUCUCCAGAACUUACUUCAUGAACUUUGGCUUCACUUCCCGAGCAGAUUUCCUGGGCCUUGAGUCUCCUGGGCCAGCACAUCGCUGUCACACAAAAUGGAUUUGUUCAUCAAACACUUUGAGGAGAGAGCUGUGCCAGCAGGCAGCCCCUGAGCUGCAAGCAGAGGAGCUUUCUGACCGGGAGCAGAGACUCAUAGACAGACUUUACCAGGGGCUAAUCCAGGGCCACAGAGCCUGCUUAGCCGAAUCCAUUACACUCAUAGAGUCAACUCAGAGUAGGAAGAAGAAAGUAGCCCAGGUGCUCCUUCAGAAGGUAUUAUCCUACCACAGGGAACAAGAAAAGUUAAAUCAAGGAAAGCCACUUGCCUUUAGAGUGGGGUUGUCUGGUCCUCCUGGUGCUGGAAAGUCGACCUUCAUAGAAUGCUUUGGGAAGAUGCUUACAGAAAGAAACCACAAAGUGUCUGUGUUGGCUGUAGACCCUUCCUCUAGUACAAGUGGUGGUUCCCUACUGGGUGAUAAAACACGGAUGACUGAGCUGUCAAGAGACAUGAAUGCAUACAUCAGACCAUCUCCAACCAGUGGGACACUGGGAGGUGUGACAAGGACCACAAAUGAAGCCAUUCUGCUCUGUGAAGGAGGAGGCUAUGAUGUUGUUCUCGUGGAAACAGUAGGUGUGGGCCAGUCAGAAUUUGCUGUGGCUGAUAUGGUUGAUAUGUUUAUAUUACUGCUACCACCUGCGGGUGGAGAUGAAUUACAGGGCAUCAAGCGGGGCAUCAUUGAGAUGGCAGACCUGGUUGCUAUCAACAAGGCUGAUGGUGAUUUGGUUGUGCCUGCCCGGAGGAUCCAGGCUGAGUAUGUCAGUGCCAUGAAGCUGCUUCGCAAGCGUUCCAAGGUUUGGAGGCCAAAGGAAAAGGAGCUAAGCUGGUUCCCAGACCGUGAUGUCAGACCCUCCUCUCAUGGAAGGAGAACGACUUCAUCACAGUAAGGACAAGAGUCUUCAGAAAGUCCCUUUCAGAAAGCUUGUGAUGAGAUGAUCUGAGGGAUGUGGCAGUCUUACAUUGGAAGCAAGAUAAUUGAUUUGAGUUUGUUCUGCUGCUGCAACUGGUUACGACGAGCAGCCUGCCCUCUGCAAGAGCAGAGCAAGAGGAGAGCAGGUCUGAGCACUUCUGCUGGGGUGAAGUUCUCUGGCUUUCAGUGUUUGCACAGUGAAUUCAAUGUCAACAGACACAGACAGCAGAUCUCAGUGGAGGCAGAGGCACAUUCCCAGAAGAGUAACAAUCCAAAGUUUACCCUUCCAGUGAAAUGCUGUCUGAGAAGUGCUGGAAAAAGAAAGCUACAGUGUGGGCAGGAAGAGAGGGAGACACCACAUCUUCUUGAGAGACACCAUGACUUACCAAUGCUGUGUCAAAGCUUUUCUUUCAGCCAAGGAGUCAGAAGCAGAAGAGGAGCAGUGAAUUGCAACACCAGCAACAUGUACAAGGUACUGAUAAAGGCCCUGAAAAUUAGUAUUCACACCUCAGGAGAGUAGAAAUAACUGUAAGGAGUUUUUUUAGUUGAGUAGACAUUAGCACUGCCCUAACUGCAGGAAAAAGGCAGUCCAGAUGUAUUUAAUGUUAACAGUAAUAUAUCUGAGGAUAAUUCUUAUCUAAUGAACACCCAGAUUAUUUUUUCCUCAGUUAGUGUUUAAGUAGUCUAACUUCCUUUUAGGAUGUUGAGUAUCUUUUCUUGUUCAGUGGAGUCAAUUGUACCUUUGCUUCUUGGAAAUUUGUCUGCUCUUAGGGUUUUUCCUCAUUAGUGUGCUCUGUGCAUUUUAAUUGUUCCAAUAAUCUCUGGUUAAAAACCCAGGGUUUUCUAAAAUGCUGAUGAAAUGAGUACACAAUAUUUUUACAAUUAAAAAGAAAUUAUUUUUGUGACAA